GUCUCUGUAGCGUAAUGGAUUGUGCUUUGGACUUCUAAUUCGAAGGUCGUGGGUUCGAACCCCACCUGGGAUG